rnacentral:lncRNA from 1 species
UCUGAUCUAAAAAGUAAUGAGUGGCAGUCACAUUAAUUGAAUUCCAUAGUAUUUUGUGUAUACCUGUCUCAUCUGCAUAUCUAGGUUUUUAAAACAGUUACAAAAAGUUAAAUUGUUUUUGAAAAAUCACUAAAGUUGCUUUUUCCCUCUUCAAAAUUUUAGGCUCAUCCAAAAUACUUGAGUUGUAUUGCAAUCAGCUGUUUUUUCCUAGCUGCCAAGACUGUUGAGGAAGAUGAGAGAAUUCCAGUACUAAAGGUAUUGGCAAGAGACAGUUUCUGUGGAUGUUCCUCAUCUGAAAUUUUGAGAAUGGAGAGAAUUAUUCUGGAUAAGUUGAAUUGGGAUCUUCACACAGCCACACCAUUGGAUUUUCUUCAUAUUUUCCAUGCCAUUGCAGUGUCAACUAGGCCUCAGUUACUUUUCAGUUUGCCCAAAUUGAGCCCAUCUCAACAUUUGGCAGUCCUUACCAAGCAACUACUUCACUGUAUGGCCUGCAACCAACUUCUGCAAUUCAGAGGAUCCAUGCUU